rnacentral:snoRNA from 1 species
GUGCAUCUCUCAAUCCUCUCGGGUUCCUGGCUGUGGAUCUCCAGACAAGAAGAGAUGCCAGAGCAAACCUGUGAAAUUUCCAAUGAGCAGAGCCCACCCUCGGCCCUUCUCUAUUUCACCUUUCACACAAAGCU